rnacentral:lncRNA from 1 species
CCAUCUUCAUGACAUUAUGAUGAAAUGCAUGUAGCCCUAAGAUUCUAUUAAGAUCAUCUACCCAAACUUUGUGAUUUCAAUCAAUUCAGUUACAAGCUGUAUAAUUCUAAAUACUUAUGGCCAUCCUCUGAUGGCCUACCUGUCUGCUCCCUUCAGUACCGCCCAGAAAUGUUGGAAUUACUUUGAUGACAAGGUAGCUGGCAUUAUUAUCAAUUCAGAUUUAGUUGAGAUACGUGCAAUUGAAAACAAAUCAUUUCUUGAUAGCAGUAGUGCGGAGAGUCUGCUUUCUCACACAGGAGAAUGAGAGCAGCAGCACUGAGUCAGAUGGAGUUCCACUGAGCUCACAGUUGUCUUUGUGGGUGGCAGCUGCUACAGAAUAGGAGCUGCAAUAUCCAGCUGUGGAGAGCCAUGUGGCUAGCCCAAGCCGUGCUCUUUGGAAACCAGACUGCAUUUCCCCAGGGCUGUGCCUGAAGAUGCCUGAGGAUUGUGAUGGUGUGUGGACAUGUGAUGGAGCCUUGGUGGGAGCUGAGUCUUGGAUGAGCCUGAUAUCCAGUUGCCACAUCUGGCUGUGUCUUGUAGUCUGGGGAAGUGCCCUACCGCAAGGACUUGACCCGCAGAGGAUGGUGAGACAGAUGAAGCUAGAUAAUCUUUUUUAUGUCCGUGAGGGUCAGUCUUUCAACACCAAGAACUAAAACAAAUAAACAGAAGCGGGACACACUGUAAUUAAUGGCU